rnacentral:lncRNA from 10 species
CAACCGCCAUUUUGCGCAUUAAUUUACCAGAGGUCGGGUCAGGCUGUCUUAACGCAGGCAGAGGGGUGUGGCAGAUCUCCAACCGCUCGGGGUCCCGUGAUUUCCAUUAAUGAAUUCGCACACUGGCGUUACCACUCAACACACCGACGACUGCAUUGUACCAUCACUAGAAUCUAGUGCUUAAUGGCAACUCGCCCUUUCCAAAGGGUCUGAAGCAAGACGAUAGACAACAAUUAGCUAAAUCUACAUUAUUGGACAUGAUGGCUAAGUAA